rnacentral:rRNA from 1 species
UUGAACGCUGGCGGCAGGCCUAACCCAUGCAAGUCGAGCGGAUGAAGGGAGCUUGCUCCUGGCUUCAGCGGCGGACGGGUGAGUAAUGCCUAGGAAUCUGCCUGGUAGUGGGGGAUAACGUCCGGAAACGGGCGCUAAUACCGCAUACGUCCUGAGGGAGAAAGUGGGGGAUCUUCGGACCUCACGCUAUCAGCUGAGCCUAGGUCGGAUUAGCUAGUUGGUGGGGUAAAGGCCUACCAAGGCGACGAUCCGUAACUGGUCUGAGAGGAUGAUCAGUCACACUGGAACUGAGACACGGUCCAGACUCCUACGGGAGGCAGCAGUGGGGAAUAUUGGACAAUGGGCGAAAGCCUGAUCCAGCCAUGCCGCGUGUGUGAAGAAGGUCUUCGGAUUGUAAAGCACUUUAAGUUGGGAGGAAGGGCAGUAAGUUAAUACCUUGCUGCUUUGACGUUACCAACAGAAUAAGCACCGGCUAACUUCGUG